rnacentral:rRNA from 1 species
CCGCGGCAAGACGGAAAGACCCCGUGAACCUUUACUAUAGCUUGACACUGAACAUUGAGCCUUGAUGUGUAGGAUAGGUGGGAGGCUUUGAAGUGUGGACGCCAGUCUGCAUGGAGCCGACCUUGAAAUACCACCCUUUAAUGUUUGAUGUUCUAACGUUGACCCGUGAUCCGGGUUGCGGACAGUGUCUGGUGGGUAGUUUGACUGGGGCGGUCUCCUCCUAAAGAGUAACGGAGGAGCACGAAGGUUGGCU